rnacentral:rRNA from 1 species
UACGUAGGUGGCGAGCGUUGUCCGGAUUUACUGGGCGUAAAGGGAGCGUAGGCGGACUUUUAAGUGAGAUGUGAAAUACCCGGGCUCAACUUGGGUGCUGCAUUUCAAACUGGAAGUCUAGAGUGCAGGAGAGGAGAAUGGAAUUCCUAGUGUAGCGGUGAAAUGCGUAGAGAUUAGGAAGAACACCAGUGGCGAAGGCGAUUCUCUGGACUGUAACUGACGCUGAGGCUCGAGAGCGUGGGGAGCAAACAGGAUUAGAUA